GGGCCUGUAGCGCAGCCUGGAAUUUUGGGUACAUAGCGCAUCUGCCUUCUAAGCAGAGGGUCGUGGGUUCAAAUCCCAUCAGGCCCGCCA
rnacentral:tRNA from 1 species